GCACCCGUCGUCUAGUGGCAGGAUGCGGGCCUUCCAAGCCCGCGACCCGGGUUCAAAUCCCGGCGGGUGCA
rnacentral:tRNA from 3 species